rfam:Mus musculus chromosome 6, GRC primary reference assembly.
GCCGGGCACGGUGGCGCAUGCCUGUAGUCCCAGCUACUCGAGAGGCUGAGACAGGAGGAUCGCUUGAGUCCAGGAGUUCUGGGCUGUAGUGCGCUAUGCCGAUCGGGUGUCCGCACUAAGUUCGGCAUCAAUAUGGUGACCUCCCGGGAGCGGGGGACCACCAGGUUGCCUAAGGAGGGGUGAACCGGCCCAGGUCGGAAACGGAGCAGGUCAAUUACAGGCAUAAUAUUUGGCAUCCAGUUAGUCCAAUCCUCUUCCUACUCAUCUGCAUAUGUAGAGGACAGAGUCACCA